CAGUCGCCACGGGAAUACGAAGGGUGCAAGCGUUACUCGGAAUUACUGGGCGUAAAGCGUGCGUAGGUGGUGGUUUAAGUCCGUUGUGAAAGCCCUGGGCUCAACCUGGGAAUUGCAGUGGAUACUGGGUCACUAGAGUGUGGUAGAGGAUAGUGGAAUUUCCGGUGUAGCAGUGAAAUGCGUAGAGAUCGGAAGGAACAUCUGUGGCGAAGGCGACCACCUGGACUGAUACUGACACUGAGGUGCGAAAGCGUGGGGAGCAAACAGGAUUAGAUACCCCUGUAGUCCCUGUCUCUUAUAC
rnacentral:rRNA from 1 species